UAGGGAAUCUUCAAAUGGACAAAAUUCUGAUGGAGCACGCCCGAGUGUGAUGAAGGGUUUCGGCUCUAAAACCUGUUGUAAAAGAAGAAUGACAUUGAGAGUAACUGUUCAAUGUGUGACGGUUUCUAACCACAAAGGAACGGCUAAAUACAU
rnacentral:rRNA from 1 species